ensembl:lncRNA
CUCCCUUCAACGCAAAGUUGAGUGCUAAUGAUGUUUGAAGAGAAGCCACACAGUGUUAUUUUACUGUUUUUUAUUAGUUUUUUAUUGUGUGCAGUUCUGUACAAUCUUUAUACUAAUAACAUAAUAGUAGAUGGCCUGAUAAGUAUGGCUUCAGGAGCUUUGUGGUAAUAUGAACGUCUUGAAAGUAAAGGAGUUCAAGUGUUAUAAAUAAUAAAAUUGGAAACUUCCUAUUUAAAAUGUUUAUAGGCUCUCAUUUGGGCUCUCGUGCUUCCAAUAUACAAGACAUUUUCUUCAAAAUGGCCAAUUAUAAUUAAAAAAACCCUACAUUUUCCCUUGUUGUGAAGUUGUUUUUGUUUUUUUUUUUAAAUAGAGACAAAUCUCUUAACAUGGGAACUAAGCAUUUAAGAUUCUAAUUAACCUCGUGAUUAUACCAGCCUUAACAGACACAAAAAGAAUAAAAAAAAACAUAGGUUCUACAUGAAGGUACUUCUUAAACCAUCUCUGGGAUUGAAGAUAGCAUAUAAAAUAGUGGCUUGCAUAUUAACUGAUUUUUAUUACAAAUGUUUGCGAUCGUGAUGAUCAGGUGGUGGCAUGCCAGAGAGAGCUGGGGAUUAUAGAGUUUUCCUGGAAUUCCUAAGAGCUGGUACACAGGAGACAAAAAGGAACUGCCACUCUUCCCUGAAUUAAAAAGUUUCUGAUGCAGCUGCUCAGUACUCAGAACAAAACCCCACAGAACGUUAUUUGGUAGAUGGUGGAAACAAACAUUCCACUUAAGAUUUUCAAUAAAUCUAUUCCUGUGUAGAACACAAAUAUGUCUGACAAUUUGUUUUGACAGACAACUAACAUCUUUGGACUGUUCAUGUUUAAGCACAUACUUUUUUUUUUUGCUGUUGAUGAUGUUACUUGAUUGAAUUCCUGAUCAAUAACGAAAAGCUUUUUGGCUUUUAUUCCUAAAUGAAUUACAAUCUUUUUUUUUUCUUCCCCUAACAUUAGCAGGUUGUUGAAAGAAGAGUUUGGAGUAUGUUGUGCAGUGAAAAGCUGCAACAAAAGUAAAAAAAAAAAAAAAAAACCUGCCUUCCAGUGUUCUCUCAUGAAGCCAAGACUGGACAUGGCAGAAAUGUUUCCUUUACCGAGAUAUCUUGGGUCUUCCUCACUCUUCUUGGUCUGAGUUUAUCCCUGAGUCCAUGCAUCCAUGAUGCUGAUUCCCAUAGCAGAUGAUCUGAGUGAGAACAGAGAAGGCGCUUGGACUAACACAGUCAGACCUAUCGGUUGUUUUCACUUUCACAAGUGUUGACGCAGUUGCAAAACCUACAGCAGUUUGUAUGUCUGGCUUUCAGUGGCUCCAUUUCUCUCUCUCAGGGAGAUCCCAUAAGAUUUUUAUGAUUAUUUACUCUUCUACCUCAGUGCACCCUAUGUAGCUGCUGCAACCUUCUGUUUCCCUCGUUCACUGUGUAAACAAGGCUGUAGAAGAGAUUUUCAGUAUGGUCAUCAUAGCCACCUUUAAACCUUCUUUUGUGUCUCAUCCCAUACUUCGACAUUUCUUAUCCAGUGCCUGACAGACAAUCUUAAGCCUGUGCAAGAAUUACAACUCAGAUGCCUUUCUGGCAAGGGAGGAAAGCAGAAGAUUGAGCUGGGAUUGCAUGAGCCUGCUGCCUUAGAUAUUUUUCUAAUUUCUGUUGUUCAAAUUCAUAAUAUUUGUUUUCACUCUUUUUAAAUAAACAUGCAGGAGCAGUUCUCAAAUAAUUUUCCUCAUAUAACAAUUUUGUCAUUUUCCCUUCAGAGUUAAUAGGUUUAUAUUAUCAAUACUUUUUUAAAGAUUAGUAUUAGCAACUGCAUUAUAUUCCACAUGCAACUUUUGUUUGCAUGAGCUUGGAGAUUGAAACUAGUCUAGAAGGACUGGUUUGCUUGUUGAGUGGAGUUUGUCUUAUCAAACACAUCAGUGUACCUUGACAAACUGCUGAAUUUGGUGUGAAGCCUAGGUGUCAUCUUGUUAUCUAUCUGUUAUCUGUGUCUUUAUCUCAUGCUGCCUGCCCUGGGAGGUGAUGGAGUCACUGUACCCAGAACUGUUCAGGAAAUGAGGAGAUGUGGCACUGAGGGACAUGGGACUAUGAUUCUAUGCAGUUAGCUGCCCAACUACAACAUCAAACCUAACGCCUCUAUCACGAGGUCCCCCUGACCAUGGGGCUCAUCCUGCUUGUUGGUAACAACUGCCACAUCUGCACGCUUCUCUUGGCCAUGCCCCUUAGUGCUGUACUCUUAGGAUACCCACACAUCAUAUCAGGUGCAUUCGUGUUCCCUUUUUCACAAGCCUUUGCAGCCCUUUUUGCAUGACCUUCCUUGAAGGUCAUUUGUUUUGGAUCCCACCUGCAUGUACCACACAUGCACCAGGCAGCUUUGCAUCCUUUUGUCUACUCUUGCUGCGUCAUGGCCAGGUAACAAGAUGAAAGGAAGGAUUUGGGAAAGCAGCCAGAAUAAGACUUUUCAGCAGGUUGGGUAUUCUGGUACCUCUCUUCUGGGGACAGGAUGCACCCAGUUCCCAACACAGGAAAUUGACAGCUGUGGUGGGAAGGCGUCAACUGUGGAGGGUGCAAGAGGUCUCCUGCAGCCACGAGCAGGGUGCUUGGUUCUGCCAGGUCCUCAGAUGCUGUAGGGUGGCUGCUGAGCCUGCCGUAUGGCUGCACAGGGUCUGCUGGCACUGCCUGUGGGAUCAGCUUGAUGCCAGUAUGGACAGUGCCAUCAGGAUUACUCUUGCCUCCUGCAAACCUCACAAUCUGUGCAAAGACAGGGAAACCUCAUGACUCCAGCAAUUCAGUGUGCUUUGGAGGGCUUUUGGCCAGCACCGACGUGAUGUUUGCGUAAUCAUGUUAGACCUUCCUGAGAAGAUCACAUAUUAUUGAAGCUCAGUAGCUGUAUAAUCCCCCUUCCCCCUAAAAUCCAGUCAAAUUAAAUGCUCAGAGGUGCUUUCUUCAAGCUAUCUGCAGGGAACAGUUUUUCAAAGAAAGUUAAGCAGUUUAAACUCUGGCCACAUUUUGAGUUCACCUUUAAAAGCUCUUUAGAAGCAAAGAGUUUCCUUGGAGCAUAAGGAGGAUCAAAAGAAAAAAAAAAAUCUUUCUUUGCUCUAUAAUUCAUGACUGCGAGUUCAGCCUGUGUAUUCAUCAUUUGAUCAAGCACCUGUAAUAGGUAACUUCACUGUCACAGCUUGCAAGAGAACAUACAUGGGAUACUGAGCUUGCAAACAAUAAAAAAACCCCACAACACAACAAGCAACUCACUCCUUACUCAAGGAGUAAGAGAGUGGAGAGCCGCUAACCUUCAGACACCCCAGUGGCUCCAGGCACUGGAGGAGGGGAUGAUGACUCUUCUGCAAGCAGGUGAUUUUUGGAGCAGAAGUAAAUGCUUCCAUCAGGAGUUAUCCCAGCUCUUGAUGACUUGGCAGAGCAGUGCCAUAAUCCAAUCUGUGACGCACUGGGAAGAUGUUAAAAUGGCAAUCCUCUUCUCUGUAGGUAUUAUACUAAGAAAUACCUAUUCUUUUGUCUAGUGCCAUCUCCAUAUGAGACUUCUGAUGUUUGUUUUUUUUUGUGUGUGUGCUGAAUGUCUUCAAACUUCCCUUGUCACUUUUCUUACCUUUGAAAAAUGUUAUUUACUUAUGAUUUAUUUUUUUCUGUAUUAGGAUCACCAUAUAAAUUCUGCAUUUCCAUUUUGUAUUCUCUAAUUCUAUAACAGUCUCUUUCAUUUUAAUUUGUUAUCCUAAUGAAAUCAGAGUUCCCACCACAAACCAUAUUGGAGGCGAGGAAGAAAGGGUGGAGAGCGGAUGGCUGUUGUAAAGAUUAAGCAGUAGUAGUUUAAACUAUCAAACAAAAAUGUAUGAAAAGACAAAGCCUCAUAAAGAAUGUUUAAAAACUUCUCACUGCACAGGUAAGAACCAAAGGCAUCUCCAAAGCAACAUGUGCUGAGUCCACAGUGCCUGCAAUUUAAUUAUUAAACAAAGCCAGUGCUAAGUGGCAGGUAAGGCUGCAGCAGGAUACAUUCACAUAACCCUAGACCAGAAAAGUAAGGAAGAAAAAAUAGAAAGUUAAGGGAGAAGAUUGAUCUUUCCACUUUUGUUUUACUUACAACAUUGUUAACAAGGCGAGGUGAUUAUCCAUUAAGCUUUUGAUCUCAUCUCUGCUAUCAGGCUCGUACUCUUAACACAGAGCUUUGACCGUGACUUCACUGCUACUGUGUAAAUCCCAUCCAAGUAUUUGGACUAUUUAUCAGAUAUGCAUGUGGCUAGAGGGGAGCUAGCUUAUGCAGUGGAGCAUGAAUCUGGUGAAACUGAACUCAUUACUGCCUUAGGGUAUCUCUGGGAGGUAGCUAAUACUGAAGUGGUAGGAGCAAGCUGCAGAAGUAGAUGUCUGCUGUGACUCAAAAGGGGUUAAUCUUAAACAGUCAAAAUGCUUCAUAAAGAUUGGAGCUAAUUUGAGGCCUCCUGUGAUAACUAGGCUAAUAUAGGGCAGGAAGGGGAAUAGAGCCAUCUCCAUGAAGUCUUACAAGACACUGGAGUGUUGUCUUUUGCCUGACACGGGUCUCAAUGAGAUGUAGCUGUUGUCAUACUCCUGUUAAAAAUUUUGUUCUUUAUUAAAAAAAAAACUUCCCAUAUAAGAGGUUUUUUUUUAAGGAUUAUGCAAAAUUUAUGUUCUUGAUUGGUAGUUUUCUUAUAAGUAAAACAAUAAGAGGUUUUUAACUUUCUGCAGGUAACCUCUGGUUGGUUGCAUUCUAUAUUAUAAAACUGAAGAAAGGGUGCUGACUGUAGGAUGGUAUUAUUUUGGAGAAAUUAUUUCAACAGCUCUCAGCCCCGACCAUGAAUGCAGUGAUAUGUUUUAUUUUGAAGUUUUCCUUCAGAGACAAAUAUCUGACCCUUUUGGUAGAUAUUGAGGAGUUGCCUACCACCAUCACUCAAGUAACCAGUAAUCACUCAAGACCAAUGAAUGGGGAGAGCAAGAAGGGGGGCUGACUGAGGACCUUCCUGGCCAUCUGUCUCUCAAAGAAAACGUAAGGAGUUACUUUGUUAGAGCAGCUAUAAGGAUGAAUCAAUCACACGUACCACUUACAACAUUAACAGAUGUUCCCAUUAAGUUUCUGUAGCUUAAGUGCACAUAAACAGUUCAGAAAAAAAUCAUAGAACUCUUUUGAAUAGCUUUUUACACAGCUAACAGUAAUAGGAUAAUAAGUGGGAAGGGCAGAUGCAGAAACAAUACUCAAUGAAAAGGUUGAGGGCCCUCCAGAAAUGCCAUCUGAGUGGCAAAGAGCCCAAACAAUGUCAGGCUCUUAGCGUAAUGAAAUCCUGUACCAAGAAAAGGUUAAAAAAACCUAAACUGAAGGGAAACGUGGUAACAAUGUUUUUCAUUUUCUUGAAAGAAAUGAAAAACCAAACAGAACCGUAACAAGUAAACACUAGACAAUAUACAGAGAGAAAAGAUAAUUAAUGUGAGUCAUUUCUGAAGGCAAGAAAAAGUCUCUGAUCCGAUACUGCUCUGCUAGGCCCAGGUGACACUGAAAUGCCAGCUGCCCUCCACUCACCUCAAGCUUCUGAAGAGUCCUCCUAAAGCUUCUUCUGGGGUUCCUCUUCUUGGCUGAAGUAACACUAAGUGAAUUUCCUCCUGAUAACUGAAAAAAUGUGUGUGGUCAGCACAGUCAAAUGUGGGACUUCUGGAGCACAGGACCACUGCCAGCUGCCUCACUCAGGGUGGUUGCGUCUCCUUCCUAUACGGUGAGCUCAAAAUAACAUUUCUAUGGCCAAAGGACUCACUUGCUUUAGCAGCUCUGCAAUCCCCCCUGCUUUGCAAGGGUAAUUCUCUUGUGAAAAUCUAGGCCCCUGGCAAGUGGGGAGAGAGACUGACAAAUAAGAGGUGCGUUCCCUGUGGCACUCAUGAAGAGCUAUGGCACUUUAUCACCAGGACUUUUCUUAACUUCACAGUGCAACAGCAAGUACAACUUAACUAAUUCCUUUAUAAUAAAGAUUAUUUCUCAAGAAUUUCCCCAGAGGAUCGACUGCCAUUUAGUUACCUUUCAAAGCUCAACAAUAAUGAAGUAGACUAUAUGACAGCAUUGUUUCCAGGAGCACUGUUAAUUUUUCUCAUUUUUCAAUACUCAGAUGUUGGUAUGUGAUAAAACGGUAACACAGAUGGACAAAAAUUGAAAGCAGCAAUUGCCUCUGAUAAAACUGUUCAAAGGCAGAUAAUGUUCAUCUUUUCCCUCUGUUUUUCAUUAUUAUUAUUAUUAUUAUUAUUAUUAUUAUUAUUUUUGUGGAAGCAUUCCCUCCACCAUAACUCCUCAGCAUUGAUCAACUUCAGCACUUAUGGUGCUUUCAAGGACUCGACAGUGGUUUCUGCAGAACACGAAGGUGAGAGCUAUGGGAUCAAGCACUACCGUGAAGAGCAUUCAGCAAAUGGUGAGACAGAGGCAGUGUUGCCUGCUGAAGAAAACUGGGAUGUAAUUCUGAACUAAAUGUUGGUAGCAGCAGAAAUGCUGAUCUUGAUUAAAUCUGAAAAUGGCUUGGCUAAGGAUUGGAGGAGGAAACCUAAUUCCUCUUCCUACCAUUAACUCAAGACACUCUGGCUCUAUCUACACAAGUUUUAUUACCACAUAUUUCCCAGUGCUGCUACCGUCUGCGCAGUCCUACAGACCUCUGCAACAGUCAGGAUACGGUAGCAGGAGCUCCGGUUCAGCCCUCAUUAUUUAGACCUGUUCUAACGAGUGAAUAGGUUGGCCCUUUGCCCAAUACCUGGGGUGUACCAGGCCCAGCUGGGCGUCCCCUCUGCUCUGUGCUGUGCAGCCUCACCUCCAGCACUGGGUGUGGGUUUGGAUGCCAAAAUCUAAGGACAUAAAACUAUUAGAGAGCAUCCAAAGGAGGGCUACAACGAUGGGGAAGGCUCUGAGGGCAAGGUGUGUGAGGAGCGGCUGAGGCCCAUCGGUGUGCUCAGCGCAGAGCAGAGGAGCUGAGGGGAGGCCUGAUGGCGGCUGCAGCUCCUCACAGGGAGCGGAGGGGCAGCGCUGAGCUCUGCUCUGUGUGACAGCGACAGGGCCCGAGGGAACGGCAUGGAGCUGUGUCAGGGGAGGGGCAGCUGGGGGUUAGGGACAGGGGCUGCACCACAGGGCGGUGGGCAUGGAACGGGCUGCCCAGGGCUGUGGGCACGGCCCCCAGUGCCGGAGUUCAGGGAGUGUCUGGACAGUGCUGUCAGACAUAGGGUUUGAUUUUGGCUGGUCCUAUCUGGAAUCAGGGGUUGGACUCAAUGAUCCUUGUGGGUGUUUUCCAACUUGGGAUGUUCAGUGAUUCUGUUCCAGGGGGGUGGCAAGCAUGAAAGAUCUGCUUGGCCCCUUUCCCAAAUGGAAUCAAAAUGAGUGCAUGGAGUUUUCUCAUCCAUUCUUCUAUUCACAAGACACAGAUUCAUGUGGAAGAGAGCUAGCAAAAACAACAGAACUACACGUAGGCAAAAACACUCCUUAGAGGAAUUUGCUCAUGCUCAUUUUUUGAACCGUUUCACAGUGAAGGCUCACUCCGGGUGUCUGUCAGACUACAAACUCCAUUUUGAAUGUGGAUCUUGUUUGCUCUCCUUUUCCUCUGCACUGAGGUUAUGCGAUGGUGUUACAGGGAGCUGCACGGGAGCUGUGCUGGCCACUGCUGGUAGCCCAGUUGUUCCCGGUGCUCAGCCCCAGGAAGAUGCACAUGUGCUUCAAGGAUGCAGGUUCCUGCUGCUGCUCCUGGGGAUGAAGCAGUGCAUGUAGUGAAGACUAUGGUUUGGCUGGGACUUGCCUGCAAAGUACUGGGGGGUGGUAAGUCCAGCAAAGGUAUUCCAGCUGGUCACUGGUGCAAACACACCUUGUCUCUUUCUUGCUUACUGAUGAUGCAUCACCAACGUUCAAAAGUAAACUAGGAAGCUAGGCAUCCACAGCUUGACAUUUUUUUGAAAUACAGUUUUGCAGCUUAAUAUCUAUAAACUUUGCCUUACAAAGUUUAGUGGUAUUCUUGAUUUUGGUUAUUUGUAUGUUGCAUAUUUUGUCUGUAUUCAAUAUCCUAUAGACAGGACCUGAAUUCAGUUUAGUUCACUUUUUUCUUUUCUUUUUUUCCCUGACUGAUCAGGACCUCUAAGUAAUCUUUAGAAAAUUUUUGCUCUGUUUGUUCCUGUCUUCUUCCUAAAUGUGUUUGAUGAGUGGGUGAUUUGUUUGUGCUGUCAUUACGAAAACCAUAUGUUAAUGUGGUCUUACGGAGGAGUGUUUUUAUUAUUUUAAGAGUUCAACUAAGGAUGUUUCCAAAGGAGUCAUAAUUGCUCUUCUAAGUACAAAGGCUUAACAAUGACUGGCUUACAAAUAAUGCCAAAAAUCUGUUCAGCUCAGUCUAUAAAAUCUGUUUCUCGGAAAUGUCUUCUUUCUGUAGUCUGAACUCUUUAAUGCACUAAGAAAUUAUGAUUAUUCAAGUUCUCUAUGGAUCUUUACUGCAAGUGCCUGGGACUAGGGCAAGUAUCUGCUUUUUCAUGUACGUAUCAAUGUAUGCAAAAACCUUAGGGCCGCCUCUCUAUGCAAAAGGCAAAGUGUCAAAGCGUAGCUUCAGACUGAUCCUGCAAGGAUGUUGGUGAGCUUCCUGGAGGAACAGCCUUAGAAGAGUGCCACUGCCACCCUGGUGUGCUGCAUUAACGUGGUCUGUGCUGUGUUCUGUGCAGGAUAUUUGUGGCAUCCAUCAGGAAAGGAACCAACUGAAGCAGACUGGGAUCUUUACUGGUGGACCACUUGGCUCCUCCUCUUCAUUAUGGACACAGGUUUAAUCUACCAGCCCAGUGACACAUGUGCUUGACAACACUGAGUGAAGAGCACUGGUUACAAGUCAGUUUCUAGUGUUUCUUCUUCUGUGUCGUGAUGAGCUGAGAUCCCAUGAAGAAUAGCAUUGGAGUGCGUUGGGGGCUCUCGUUCUCCUUUCUGUGGCAGUGGUCAAAACUGGAGGGAGCUUUCUCUCAGGGGACUGGCUGCAGUGCUGUUGCUGGCUGGUCAGUAUUCAUGGAGACACCUUCCUUGUGAGGCUGUUUGGUGAUGCAGGUGAGCAUGAGACACAUGCUGAGAACUCUAUCUUGACACAGAUCAUAGCAAUUUAUGAGAGAUCCAUUGACGUUUGGGAAUGUAAUGUAAAGAAAGCACCAUGAGCGUGGUGGUGGUAGAACUGGUCCCUACGUUUGGCUGAUCUCUGAGAGACUGAAUGUUAGGCUGACAGAAGAAUCACUGCAAGUGCCUUGGUGUUCAAUAAGCCUGCUGAAAAGGGAAGUAUGUGGCAGAGUCUGCAAUGCAUUACAUAUAUAAAAUUUCAGAUAGGGCCUAUUAUUCUGUGCUGCAGAGUUAAAGGAAAUGGAAAGAGGAAAAUAGCUGUGCACCUGGCCAAGACCUUGAAAAGGACAGACUUUUCAGAAUAAUUUUCAGAAAAACAAUUCCAAACCUCCCGGUUGCAAAGCCUCCUACACAGCCUUUGCAAAGAACCUUUCAGAGAAGAACUUCAAAGAAGUGCCACAGCAUGGCAACAUUUUGUGAGAGCAGUACUGCAAAUAAACGCUACACAUUUCUAAGUGCACCUCCGCCAAAAUAAGCUGAAACUGCUUUCUUGUGCAUUGCAAUGAGAAAUGAAAGGAGAAAAAAAGUAAGAAAUAUUAAUUCUUCAUUGAGAGACAUGUCAUACAAGUGUCAUACUAGCACAUUUUAAAAGCAUAUGUCUAUCUAUAAUUUGUAUCUACAGAAGCAGUGCAUAUAUUACAUAAAAAGUCAUUAGGUCAUAAAUAUUACCUAAAAAAAUACAAACAAAUUUCUAUCUUUUGCAUGUGUACGCAUAUGCAUAUAAUACAAAUUCUGUAUUAUUAGAUUAUUGGUGAAAUGAACCACUUAUUUUUCAUUAUCAUCCAGUAAGACUGUAGAGGAAGUUGGUCAGAUGGUAAAAGCCUCAGUUGAUUGUUUGGGUUCAGGUCUUCUUUUGCCUCAGGAUUCAUAUAUCACCUUAGAGUCUGAGAGUCUCUGUGCUCCAUCUGCAACACAUCUCAGAAAGAGUUGGCGAGACCUGUGUCCAGCUGGUUCCCCCGUUUGUGUGGGUGCACAACCAGCAGCACACUGAGAGGAUCAGACUUAAAAACUGCCCUGUCCCAAAAAGAGGUGCAUUGCUGGAAGAUGCACGAAGUGUAAACACAAAGGUAGUCAUGCACACAGGUUACUCGUGUUUCCUGGCAGCUGCAUCUGCGUGAUUCCAGUUGGAUCCCAGUCUUGCUGCCAUCCAGAGGAAUUUUGACAUGGGCCACAAAGAGAUCAGAUCUGUUUGUCUUACUGCUUUUCAUACAAGCUCCCUGGUAUUUCCCAGUCAGAAUUUUCUUUCUGCAAGUGAGGGGUGUUUCUUCUCUUUUUUUUUCAGAGGGCAAAUUUUAUGCCCCUUCCUCGCCUGACUUGGUAUGCUGCACUUACGUGGUCAGCUUCAGCUGCCCAAAGUGACUAUAAUGCUGUUGUCCAUCUUUGUUAAUCAUCCCCGUGUUAGCUGUGCCAUAGCAAAAACAGACAAACAAACAAAAAGCAAAGUUAAACUUGUUAUAGGAUAUUUUCUUCUGAAUACUCUCAAUGUUCUCUUUUUGUGUUGAACUAGCAAUAGCAGCCAAUUAAAGACAUGGCUCAUGGCUGAAUGUUGUUAGUUUAAAGCACAGGAUUACUCCUGUAAAAAAAUGAAUGGUGUUUGCUGUAGACAACAUUUCUAGCAUGAUCAAUGGAAAAGGAGGCACUGUAUGUGGGUAGCUCCAAAAGUAAUGCCUCCUGUUAAUUUCCAUGGAAACUACAGCAAAGAGCAUAAUAGCAGUAUCUGACAGAACAAAACUCAGACACAAAACACUGUUUGUCAGCACA